GUAGAGGUCUAUCCAUACAGGGUUUCCUGUAGCCUGCACAUCAUUGGAAAUGCCUCGGAGAGUAACUCUGAAGGUUUGCUUUACUCACAGGACUAUUUGUUAGACCUGUGAGAAGGAACUACAAGACAGAG
rnacentral:snoRNA from 1 species